rnacentral:rRNA from 1 species
CCUACGGGAGGCAGCAGUGAGGAAUAUUGGUCAAUGGACGAGAGUCUGAACCAGCCAAGUAGCGUGAAGGAUGACUGCCCUAUGGGUUGUAAACUUCUUUUAUAUGGGAAUAAAAUGUUCCACGUGUGGGAUUUUGUAUGUACCAUAUGAAUAAGGAUCGGCUAACUCCGUGCCAGCAGCCGCGGUAAUACGGAGGAUCCGAGCGUUAGCCGGUUUUAUUGGGGUUAAAGGGAGCGUAGGUGGAUUGUUAAGUCAGUUGUGAAAGUUUGCGGCUCAACCGUAGUAUUGCAGUUGAAACUGGCAGUCUUGAGUACAGGAGAAGUAGGCGGAAUGCGUGGUGUAGCGGUGAAAUGCUUAGAUAUCACGAAGAACUCCGAUUGCGAAGGCAGCUCACUGGACUGCAACUGACACUGAGGCUCGAAAGUGUGGGGAUCAAACAGGAUUAGAUACCCUUGUAGUC